CCCGUCUCAAAGGGGUGCUGCGUUUGCGGCUGAGAUUAUACCCAUAGAACUUGGGCUGGUAAUGCAGUCUAAGGAAACGAAGUCAAUAAUAAG
rnacentral:ncRNA from 1 species